rfam:Gossypium hirsutum cultivar TM-1 chromosome 7, whole genome shotgun sequence
UAUUAAAAAUUUCAUCCAUUUGCACUAUUAAAAUUUGGUUUAGCUGACGAAAUACCGAACAGUGGCACAUGACAUGUCAUGUAUAUUUCAUGCUUACAUACAAAGACCAAUUAUUAACAACAGAAAUGAAUGAAAUUUUUAAUA